GGCUACACACGUGCUACAAUGGGUAGAACAGAGAGUCGCAAAGCUAUGAAGUGGAGCUAAUCUCAGAAAACUAUUCUUAGUUCGGAUUGUACUCUGCAACUCGAGUACAUGAAGUUGGAAUCGCUAGUAAUCGCGAAUCAGCAAUGUCGCGGUGAAUACGUUCUCGGGUCUUGUACACACCGCCCGUCACACCACGAGAGUUGGUUGCACCUGAAGUAGCAGGCCUAACCGUAAGGAGGGAUGCUCCGAGGGUGUGAUUAGCGAUUGGGGUGAAGUCGUAACAAGGUAUCCGUACGGGAACGU
rnacentral:rRNA from 1 species